rnacentral:rRNA from 1 species
UACCAGCACCCGAGUGGUCGGGACGAUUAUUGGGCCUAAAGCAUCCGUAGCCGGCCUUACAAGUCCUCCGUUAAAUCCAGCUGCUUAACAGAUGGGCUGCGGAGGAUACUAUAAGACUAGGAGGCAGGAGAGGCAAGCGGUACUCAGUGGGUAGGGGUAAAAUCCGUUGAUCCAUUGAAGACCACCAGUGGCGAAGGCGGCUUGCCAGAA